rnacentral:lncRNA from 1 species
GUGUUUUUGCCAUUUCUAGGGCCACUCCCACAGUAUAUAGAGGUUCCCAGGCUAGGGGUCGAAUCAGAGCUGUAGCCGCCGGCCUACACCACAGCCACAGCCAUGCAGGAUCUGAGCUACAUCUGCGACCUACACCACAGUUCAUGGCAACACCGGAUCCUUAACCCACUGAGCGAGGACAGGGAUAGAACCCGCAACCUCAUGGUUCCUAGUCGGAUUCGUUUACCACUGAGCCAUGAUGGGAACUCCAAGGAUUUUUUUUUUUUUUUUUAAUUCACUCUAAAACUUGCCAUUGGGUUGGCUGAAGCUCUGUUGGAUCUGUAUCACAGAUCAGUUCCUCCCUCUCCUCAAUCCUGCCCCUUUCCCUUCCUUUAACAAGUGCUGAUUCCCUACAACAUCUUACACCCCCAAAGUCUAUGGCAGUGUCUGCUUUUGCAGAACCCAACCCGAGACAGCUGCUCAAAAAUUCAUCCAUUCAUUCAACACACAACACAUAUUUACUAAGGACCUAUUAUGUGCAAGUCCUGUUCUAGAUACCAGGGAUUCGGAGGUAAGUAAAUCUCUACUCUUGCUGGGCUUCAGUUCUUCAGUUCAUAAAUACAUGAACAAGUGAACAUGUGAUCAGUUCAGACAGCGAUAAAUAUCCAGAAGAAAAUAAAACAGGGUGAUUGAGUGCAUGGAGGGGGUGGGAAAGAGGACUGCUACAUGAGCUGGGGAGUUGAGGGGAGUCUCUCCAGAAGAAGACUUUCUAGCCAAGACUUGAGUGAUGAGACACACCAGUGAAGGUCAGGGUGAGAGCAUUCUAGGCAGGUGUUUGGACUGCUGCAGGUGCAGGGGUCCUGAGGCAGAAACAAGUCUAGCACACUGAAGCGACAGCAGGAAGGCUGGUGCGGUAGAAGUUCAGUGUUAUAAAGUCGGCGGAGAAGAUGUGGACCCGUCCACAGUCUUCAUCCCUGGACUAUUAAGUGAGGUAAUCUGAAGAGUGCUUAUGUAGCACAGUGCCUAGCACCCAGGAUGGGCUCCGUAAAUUGCAGCUAUUAUUAUUAUUAUUUUUAACCCCAGCAAUUAGCACAGUUUCUAACAUUCACCAGAUACUCAGAAAGUAUAUAUUAAUGAAGUAAGGCCAAACCCUGAUUGCAUGUAUACUCUGCUUUCCUCUUCCUCUGAACAGCAGAGGAAACUAUCAAAUUCGAACUGAUAGGACAAAAUUGUGACAAAGGGAGCUUCACCAGUUCAACAAAGACUUAUUAAGUCCUAACAUAAGAAGCACUGGACUUCCUACCUCCAUGGGGCUUACAACUGAGAAGGGGAAACAAAAAUGCUAAGAUCUUCAUUCUCCAGGCCACACAUGACAAGUGCCAUCCAAGCACAGAUUAUCCAGGGUUCAGAGUUUGGAGGCCACACCCAAUCGCUCCCUAGUUAGGGUGGCUAUGGAGGGUAUCUUGAAGGGUGAUGGGAUUUUUGAUGAGCAAAGAUGAGAAAAGGAACUCAUCCUAGGCAAACAGGAUGGACUAAGCCAAGCGUAACAUGAAGAAAGCAAAUACCUCUUUAGGGAAGGAUGCCUAGUCCAGACUGGCUGGGGGAUGGGGGCUUAUGCUGGGGACUAAUAAGAGAUGGGUCUGGAAAAGGCAGUGUGGACUAGUCUGGAAGGUCCUCAGAUGCCAAGGUCCGGUGGGGGGAAGGGAAGCAGAGACGCUUCAGAGGCCAGGUAUGGCCAGGCUGAGACAAAACUGACGGGCCGGCUGUGUACAGGGUGGAACCCAAGCAGGGGGAGCCUGGGACCAGGGCAGACACCAUCAAGUCACUUAAUCCUGAUAAUAAGCCAACGAGCGAGCGUUGUCAGAAAGGGAGAUGGAGGCAGUGUGUGCCCAAGGUCGUGCAGCUCGGAAGUUUUGGGAGUGGGGUCCAAAUUCAGUCAAUCGGACUCCAGAAUUCAUGAGGACAGAGAACUGAGUAGGUGACUCAUGCAAUGGUCUUUUGAAUGGCAGGGGGAAAAAAAACACUUGGGCUGGCCUGCCUGGGGUGGGGUAGGGGAAGUGCAGGCAGAAUUAUAAGCUUUUUAAAAAUAAAAUCUGAGAACAAAAAGAGUUUAAGAGGAACUUAUAUUUAUAUGAUUGAGCCAAAAUGAUGAAAUGAAACAGUUUAUUAUGACAUCAUGACAGACAAUUUAAAAAGAGCAUAAACAUGUUUUUCUCACAACAAAGGAAGAAAAGAGCUUUUAAAAAAAAAAAAAAAAAGAGAAAAAGGAGGCUGUUUAAUGCUAAGUUCGAUCCUGAAUAGCAGCUUACACUGAAGAAUGUGCAAUUUGGGUUUGUUAAUGUACCAGAGCCACAUUUUAAAAGAAAAGAUGGCAUAGAAUAGGUCCUGGUGGGUACCGGAGUUAAAGCCAUAAUCACGUACAAAGAGCUACUGGCCAACACAACCAAUGACAAACAGGCAAAGACAGCACGCUCAGCAGAAAUGCUUUUCUCAGCAGACGAGUCACAGACAAACUGGGCUUUACACUUUAGUUCCAUGAGACAAUAUAUACAAAGCAACCAGCACAGUGCCUGAGGCCAAGCAGAUGCUAGUUCUUUUCCUUUUCCUGCUCAGCUUCCCAUCCUAGCCGACAAAAAAGAUAAAGGAACCUUUCUUCCUCUAACAGCUUAAGUUGGAGAAAUAUAAAAUAGAUCUAGAAGUCUGCAGAAAGAAAAACAUCGAGGCAAGUUUCUGUGGAUUUGAGUCGGGAGUUCCGGCAUCACCUACGAGGGAGCUGGGAUGGGGAUGGGAACAGAGCCUGUUUCCUUGAGAAGAAAACGAAGCAGGGAUAUGAACGAAUGCCAGGCCCCGUGCAAACAAGAGGCCGUUUGUACUCCGGACACUUUAUCUUUACUCAACCAGUGACUCACCAGAAGGAACAAGUUUCCCUGCUUUAGUUAGAGAAUAAUCACCUUUUAUCACCAUAUUCCUUCCUAGCACUGGAUGAGUAAAGCACUUCUAGGGGAAGAUUAGGUAAGUGAAAAGCAUUGACUGUACCUGUGCUGGAGGAAGAGGCCACUGGAUACGCCCAUGAGCCUUCAGUCACCAAAGAAAGGCUUACGGUGCCUACCACCAUCUUUUUUCUCUCCGUUCUCCCUGACAGGACAGGCCCCAGAAGUUCCUGUUUAUUGUCUGUCCUUCCCUAAAGAGCUUGUAUAUGGAAGUGCGGAGGUGAGGCUCUUAAAGGCUUCCAGAUCCUGGGGUGAAAGGUGCUGUUUUAAGUCAUCCCACUCAUUACAGACGGAAUAGGCCUGUGCUGUGGCUCUCAAGAUACACAGCGGGGUCUGUUCUGAGAUGAAGGAAGCUAAAGAUCCGAGGCCGUCUUUAUUAUUGCAGCUAUAACACCCCGGGUAAUAAGGGUGCCCUAUAAACACCGCUGCUGCUGAUAAAGAGGGGCUGGGGGCUCCUGGACAAUUUCAGUGUCACCCUUGGUGAAAAGAUUUCUUGGCUCUACAUGCCUAUGCGGAUGUGCUCAUGGUCAGACUUGGGCCUUCUAGCUGGACCAGGUAAAGACUGAACCGUUGUGGACCAGAACAAUGUGGCUAAAGGAGCCUUUUCACAUCCAACCUAGGUUCUCUCACUUUGUUACUCAGAUAUUGCAUGACGCUUGGGUGGCCACAUUUUCUUAAGUAAAAACCUCGUCAGUAUGUUUAAGGCCA